UGUGGCCUUAAAUGUCUUUAGAGAGGGGAAACAUUGUCAAGCGGUUGAGAUACGGCAGUGCGGGUUGCUCUUUUUCAACGUGUGCUCAGCAUCCAUAGGUGUGUGGGACUGUCAGUCGCUGACCUUGGUGCUGAAUAUGCACCAACAAAUCUGGAGGCUGCUGUCGCUCUCCGAGGUGCUGAAGCUCUGAAUGCCACUCUGGGGAAACGGUGGGAGUACUUUGACACCAUUUGUCACGCUUUUGUUUAUUUGAACAAAUCUAAUCAGCAAAUGAAGACACACAGAGCCCCACUUGAUCUGGUGCAGACAAAAAUCUGGUUCUGUUUUCGGCCUGGGUGCACAAAGAGGAGGAGAAUGUUUGUACAGGCUUGCUGUUACAGUAAUUAGCCUUUAUUGCGCUUCAGCUCUCCAGCUGCUCUAACCUAUACCUAUACCUGUAUGUAGGUCAGGUGGCACUUACUGAGUCACCUCAUGACUGUGACUGCCACAGGGGGAAGAAAAAGCUCAACACUGUCCUCAUCCUAUCACAUGGAAACACAGGAGAUGAUAGGAGCAAGGACACUAGAAGAAAAAUAAAAGUAUCAAGUUAUUCCAAAUAGUCAGAUAUUACGCUUUUGUAAGUUACGAGCACAGAUACUCAAAAACACCUGUUUUUUUUCUCAUCACUGGUCAUGUAGGCUGGAGCACCUCUUAAGGAAUAUUUUUAGCUGUAAGUGGUACAUUUAGUUUCUCUGCCUCUACAUUAACAAUAAAGUACAGCGUAUUUUGGCUUUUAAAAUCACAAAGACCCCAUGCUACCUGCUGAUGGCAUGAACAAACAACCGCAAAAUUCAAUCAAAUGUUAUUAUGAUGCAGCUCACCCCAUCUCACCUCCAUUUAUACUUUGUUUCUAUAACUGAUCAUUUGAGGAAAAUUGCAACUCCUAAACGCACAGCAGUGGACGAAAGCAACAAAUAAUUCAUCGAAAUAAGCAAUGAAAAAAUUGUCUUGUUUUCAUGCUCCGGUGGAAGUAAUAUGUAUCUGUAAUCAAGAGCAGAAGAAAGUCAAGUCAGCCUAAUUACUCCCCGUGUAAUGAACCACCUGCUGUGAGAGAGUGUCGCUGAAUGUUUAUGAAGCGAGCUAGAGAUAUUGUGUUCUGUUAUUGUCUUCACCCACAAGCGAAAAACAGAAACAGGGACCACAAACUGAAGAGCACACACAAAAAAAAUGACCUCACAUCACCCAAAAUGAACUUUAAGGUGACUGAAAGCUCAUAAACAAACCAGAUAAUUUGAUUGCCAAAGCGUAAUGACUCAUCUGUGUUUCUUAUUUUCUACUGAUACACUCAAACACACAACCUGCUGCACACAAAUGCACACAC